AUGAACGCUAGCGGCAGGCUUAACACAUGCAAGUCGAGGGGCAGCGGGGUGUAGCAAUACACUGCCGGCGACCGGCGCACGGGUGCGUAACGCGUAUGCAACCUACCCAUAACAGGGGCAUAACACUGAGAAAUUGGUACUAAUUCCCCAUAACAUUCGAAGAGGCAUCUCUUUGGGUUGAAAACUCCGGUGGUUAUGGAUGGGCAUGCGUUGUAUUAGCUAGUUGGUGAGGUAACGGCUCACCAAGGCGACGAUACAUAGGGGGACUGAGAGGUUAACCCCCCACAUUGGUACUGAGACACGGACCAAACUCCUACGGGAGGCAGCAGUGAGGAAUAUUGGUCAAUGGACGCAAGUCUGAACCAGCCAUGCCGCGUGCAGGAUGACGGCUCUAUGAGUUGUAAACUGCUUUUGUACGAGGGUAAACUCACCUACGUGUAGGUGACUGAAAGUAUCGUACGAAUAAGGAUCGGCUAACUCCGUGCCAGCAGCCGCGGUAAUACGGAGGAUUCAAGCGUUAUCCGGAUUUAUUGGGUUUAAAGGGUGCGUAGGCGGUUAGAUAAGUUAGAGGUGAAAUCCCGGGGCUUAACUCCGAAAUUGCCUCUAAUACUGUUUGACUAGAGAGUAGUUGCGGUAGGCGGAAUGUAUGGUGUAGCGGUGAAAUGCUUAGAGAUCAUACAGAACACCGAUUGCGAAGGCAGCUUACCAAACUAUAUCUGACGUUGAGGCACGAAAGCGUGGGGAGCAAACAGGAUUAGAUACCCUGGUAGUCCAUGCCGUAAACGAUGAUUACUAGGUGUUGGGGGAUUGACCCCCUCAGUGCCGCAGUUAACACAAUAAGUAAUCCACCUGGGGAGUACGACCGCAAGGUUGAAACUCAAAGGAAUUGAAGGGGGCCCGCACAAGCAGUGGAGUAUGUGGUUUAAUUCGACGCAACGCGAAGAACCUUACCAGGCCUUGACAUCCCUUGCAAAAUCCUGGAGACAGGAGGGAGGUUAUCAAGGAGACAGGUGGUGCAUGGUUGUCGUCAGCUCGUGCCGUGAGGUGUCGGGUUAAGUCCCAUAACGAGCGCAACCCCUACCGUUAGUUGCCAUCAGGUGAAGCUGGGCACUCUGGCGGGACUGCCGGUGUAAGCCGAGAGGAAGGUGGGGAUGACGUCAAAUCAGCACGGCCCUUACGUCCGGGGCUACACACGUGUUACAAUGGUAGGUACAGAGGGUCGCUACCCCGUGAGGGGAUGCCAAUCUCGAAAGCCUAUCUCAGUUCGGAUUGGAGGCUGAAACCCGCCUCCAUGAAGUUGGAUUCGCUAGUAAUCGCGCAUCAGCCAUGGCGCGGUGAAUACGUUCCCGGGCCUUGUACACACCGCCCGUCAAGCCAUGGGAGCUGGGGGUGCCUGAAGUUCGUGACCGCAAGGAGCGACCUAGGGCAAAACCGGUGACUGGGGCU
rnacentral:rRNA from 1 species